UCCCCGCCGAGGACGCCGCGGAGACCGCUGGUGGGCAACUGCCCCGCGCUCGACAACUGACCCAAGCAUCUUUACGCGAGCGUUUCGGAGCGACCGUUUAUAGGGCCCAAGUCCGCUGGGGCGGGCCCACUUUUCCUAAAGCGCACGCUCAUUGGCUGAACCCGCCUGACACUCAGCCUUGGGCCGGCGUCCUGUUGACCCUGACGGCGACCUCUCAGAAUCCUGGGAAGUUUGGCGUCUUCGGAGGCAGCGGAGCUGGAGCGCCUCAGAGGGUUCCCGAGGGCCGUGGAGCCUGCGGAGACUACCUCCGCCGGCUGACGCCUCAGCCUUCGCCCCGCGCGCCGGUCUCGGACUUCACGGAAAUGAAAACAAGCCAAGAGUAAAACAAAACCAGUACAAAUCCCCAAGUCAAAGCAGCUACAAUCAAAUUCAAGGAAAGCAAAGAUUGCCGGAGACUGUCCAUGAAAUCGUCUUCAUCCUUUGCGCUACUCUCUGACCUGCUCUAGUGUAAGACCAUUCUUGGUGGGCGGGAGCAGAGGGGACAGUUAAAACUCUAAAUACCGUACGGCAGUCCUUUCCCAGUUAUUUGGGGUCAUGUAAGACACUUCCAGGAAAUGCAAUUCCCCGGUUUUAUUUUAGGUUUUUGGCGGGGGUGGUGUGUGUGGAGGAGAAUGCCAGGACGGUACAGGAGUAUUUCUUAAUCCAGAGGACAAGCCUUAGGGACACGUCGGAAACACAGACUCCCGGGCCCCACCCCAGAACUACUGGUUGAGAAUCUGCAUUUUCACGAGAUUCCCAGCUGUUUCCAAACUGUGCCUCUGAACUUUGAGAAGCAGUGACCUGUGCAACCCCUUUCUGGCCUUCCUCAGGUGGUAUUGAUUGUCAGGAUUUGUAUGUAACGUUCACACCUCCUUGAUGUUGAAACUAGCAAUAAAAAUCCCACCUCCAA